rnacentral:rRNA from 1 species
GUGCUUGCACCUGAUGGCGAGUGGCGAACGGGUGAGUAAUGCAUCGGAACGUGCCCAAUCGUGGGGGAUAACGCAGCGAAAGCUGUGCUAAUACCGCAUACGAUCUACGGAUGAAAGCGGGGGACCUUCGGGCCUCGCGCGAUUGGAGCGGCCGAUGUUAGAUUAGGUAGUUGGUGGGGUAAAGGCUCACCAAGCCGACGAUCUAUAGCUGGUCUGAGAGGACGACCAGCCACACUGGAACUGAGACACGGUCCAGACUCCUACGGGAGGCAGCAGUGGGGAAUUUUGGACAAUGGGCGAAAGCCUGAUCCAGCAAUACCGCGUGCAGGAAGAAGGCCUUCGGGUUGUAAACUGCUUUUGUACGGAACGAAAAGGUCUGCCUUAAUACGGUGGGCUCAUGACGGUACCGUAAGAAUAAGCACCGGCUAACUACGUGCCAGCAGCCGCGGUAAUACGUAGGGUGCGAGCGUUAAUCGGAAUUACUGGGCGUAAAGCGUGCGCAGGCGGCUUUGUAAGACAGACGUGAAAUCCCCGGGCUCAACCUGGGAAUUGCGUUUGUGACUGCAAGGCUAGAGUACGGUAGAGGGGGGUAGAAUUCCGCGUGUAGCAGUGAAAUGCGUAGAUAUGCGGAGGAACACCGAUGGCGAAG